rnacentral:tRNA from 1 species
GCCGGGAUGGCGGAACUGGCAGACGCGCACGCCUCAAGAGCGUGUGAUCGUAAGGUCAUGUGGGUUCGAUUCCCUCUCCCGGCA